AGGUACCCAAGAAUCCACUGGAAAACAAACCUGGCUCUUGGAGAAGCAACAGAAGCAGAGUCUUCUAUGGCAAGAUAACUGCUGUGGAAAGAGGAUUCAGUGAAACUCCUGGUGAGCUUGUGCCCUAUGGAAACACAACGGCAGCCUGGCAGAUGGGAUGUCUGGAGUCAGAUUGGGAUGCCUGCAGAGAGGGGAGGGAAGACAAGGAACCACAUUCUGCUUGGCUGAACAGUCAGUUGGGUUAAAAACACCACCUCGGCCGCACGGCAUUCCUGAUGGCGUAUGGGAAUUGCUUUGCAAUGGAAGAGUGCCUGGAGGUCAACUUGAAGGCAAGAGAAGAACACCCCUUCACCAUCAACUUGACUGCCUGUAGCCUCCCCUCUUCAGCACACCUUAAGUGUGUAUCCACGCUGUUGAAUCCUAACAUCAAACCUGCAUCCAACAGGAAUUCCACCUUUGUUGCGCCGGAGCCGGUUUCGCCCCGGCCGCUCCCAAAUCCCGAGGACACACCUGUUAAUAGCUAGAGGGAAGGAGAUUGGUUGGGUGGAAGGAAUGCACCUGCGCAGGGAGGGGUGAAGGACUACAUGUAAGACGAGCCCCAGACACCCGCCGUCUCUUCUCAAUUCCAGCUUCAACAAGCCACAGCGCUCUGGGGCUGCGAAGGGAACGCCACGCGCCUUUUCCUCCUUUGCUUUCCCCUGUUUGGGCUGAAGCUCUUUGUUUCGGGCUCUAACGCAUCUCAGGCACGUGUUGCUUUCUUUCCAGGUACACUUCUAUUUUUGCCUCCCUUUGUUGACCACGAAGAGCAAUUUCGCUCCAAGUUCGUCUGUUCCAGGACACGGGAAGAUGGGAAGAGGGAAAACCCUUCUUGUGCGCGCUCUCCUGCCGUUCCUUUUUGUUACCUGCUUUGAAGCUGUCUUUGGUUUGGGAGAAGGUGGCUGUGCUUCCUGCACUGAAGUUGCUUUGCGUGUGUGUGUGGUCAUGGUCCUGUGAAUUAUAACAACACAGGAAGUUGUACUUCCCUGUUAUCGGAUGUGAAAGGCCCUGUAAAGAAUGAUUUAUAACAGCUCUCACUGAGAGAGGGGAUUAUUGCUGGUUUUAUCUGACACACGGCUUUAGGGGCAGGUGGUUCAGUGUACCUGGCAGCUGUGAAGCAGCAGAAGGCACCAGCAGCAUCCUCCCGUCAU